rnacentral:rRNA from 1 species
AGAGUUUGAUCCUGGCUCAGGAUGAACGCUAGCGGCAGGCUUAAUACAUGCAAGUCGAGGGGCAGCACGGGUAGCAAUACCUGGUGGCGACCGGCGCACGGGUGCGUAACGCGUAUGUAAUCUACCAUUAACCGGGGAAUAGCCCAGAGAAGGAAAUCUGGAUUAAUGCCCCAUAGUAUUAUCGAAAGGCAUCUUUUGAUAAUUAAAGCUCAGGCGGUUUUUGAUGAACAUGCGUGUCAUUAGUUUGUUGGUGAGGUAACGGCUCACCAAGACUACGAUGACUAGGGGGUCUGAGAGGAUGAUCCCCCACACUGGUACUGAGACACGGACCAGACUCUUACGGGAGGCAGCAGUAAGGAAUAUUGGUCAAUGGACGCAAGCCUGAACCAGCCAUGCCGCGUGAAGGAUGAAGGCCCUAUGGGACGUAAACUUCUUUUAUACGCCAAGAAAAACUCGAACGUGUUCGGAGCUGAAGGUACCGUAAGAAUAAGCAUCGGCUAACUCCGUGCCAGCAGCCGCGGUAAUACGGAGGAUGCAAGCGUUAUCCGGAUUUAUUGGGUUUAAAGGGUGCGCAGGUGGGAAAAUAAGUCAGUGGUGAAAUCCUGCCGCUUAACGGUAGAAUUGCCAUUGAUACUGAAAAGCUUGAGUACAUUUGAGGUAAGCGGAAUGUGUAGUGUAGCGGUGAAAUGCUUAGAUAUUACACAGAACACCAAUUGCGAAGGCAGCUUACUAAACUGAUACUGACGCUGAUGCACGAAAGCGUGGGGAGCGAACAGGAUUAGAUACCCUGGUAGUCCACGCCGUAAACGAUGAUCACUCGCUGUUUGCGAUAUACAGCAAGGUGGCCAAGCGAAAGCGAUAAGUUAUCCACCUGGGGAGUACGAUCGCAAGGUUGAAACUCAAAGGAAUUGACGGGGGCCCGCACAAGCGGAGGAACAUGUGGUUUAAUUCGAUGAUACGCGAGGAACCUUACCUGGGCUUGACAUCCCGGGAAUCUCCUGGAAACAGGAGAGUGCCUUUCGGGGAGCCGUAAGACAGGUGCUGCAUGGCUGUCGUCAGCUCGUGUCGUGAGAUGUUGGGUUAAGUCCCGCAACGAGCGCAACCCUUGUCUUUAGUUGCCAGCAUUCAGUUGGGCACUCUAAAGAGACUGCCGGUGUCAAACCGGAGGAAGGUGGGGAUGACGUCAAGUCCUCAUGGCCCUUAUGACCAGGGCUACACACGUGCUACAAUGGCCGGUACAAAGAGUUGCGAUACCGCGAGGUGGAGCCAAUCUCAUAAAGCCGGUCUCAGUUCGGAUUAGAGUCUGCAACUCGACUCUAUGAAGUUGGAAUCGCUAGUAAUCGCGGAUCAGCACGCCGCGGUGAAUACGUUCCCGGGCCUUGUACACACCGCCCGUCACACCACGGGAGUCGGUUGGUCCCGAAGUGCGUGAGCUAACCCGCAAGGGAGGCAGCGUCCUAAGGAAUGGCCGGUGACUGGGGUGAAGUCGUAACAAGGUAACCU